AAAUGAAGGGAAUAUAUAUAUAUUAUCUAGUUAACUGAAAACAGAAAACGAUAAUGGAGUUGCGAAUACAUUCCUAUUGUUUAAACGUUGGAGCAACCAUAUAGCAAUUGGGCCUGUAUAAAAGGAAAAACCAUACUCAGCGCCAAAUUCCCAACUGUCAGCUCUUUUAUAGUUGAAAUUUUCAAGUUUCAACCAACUUCCCGCUCAAUUGCUGCGUAUUCCCGCCCUAAUCGAAAUUUCAGAUGUUUUGUUAAUCAAAUGGGUUGGUGUCACUGGCCAUGGGAAGAUGAUGGUUGUAAUUUGUAAAGUAAUAUAAAUGAGGCAUUGACUUGUACAGAGAAGGGCGGUAUUGAGUAAUUGACUGGGCCUGCUUUGCCGGCUUGACCUGUAUAAAUGUAUCAGUAGACUUCACCUCUUUGGUGCUCAUUCUUUUGAAAAUGAGGUUUCUAUUGUUUUAUGCAGUACUAUUCUCUUACUUCCUUUUCAUUAUCCUCUGGAACAAACAUUUUAAGGGAGGAGGAUUUUCUUUUCGAGUUAUUUUACUUUUUUGGUGCUCGUUUGGUAUACAUGGGAAUUUAAUUCCCGUAGGAAGUUUCAUUUCUUAGGAAAUUACUUCCCUUAUGGAAUUCCUUGGAAAUGCCUCAAAUUUGUUUGGUUGACAUCAAAUAAUUUGUAAUUCUCAUGAAUUUUGAUUGACCAAGGGGUACUGGGUAAUUAAAUUUCCAAAUUUUCUAGGAA